UACGAGGGGGGCAAGUGUUGUUCGGAUUUACUGGGUGUAAAGGGAGUGUAGGCGGUCUUGUAAGUCAGGGGUGAAAUGCCCACGCUUAACGUGGUGCUCUGCCUUUGAUACUGCAAGGCUUGAAUGUUGGAGAGGGUAACGGAAUUCCAGGUGUAGCGGUGGAAUGCGUAGAUAUCUGGAAGAACACCAGUUGCGAAGGCGGUUACCUGGCCAAACAUUGACGCUGAGGCUCGAAAGCCGGGGGA
rnacentral:rRNA from 1 species